rnacentral:rRNA from 1 species
AGUGAACGCUGGCGGUAGGCCUAACACAUGCAAGUCGAACGGCAGCACAGUAAGAGCUUGCUCUUACGGGUGGCGAGUGGCGGACGGGUGAGGAAUACAUCGGAAUCUACUUUUUCGUGGGGGAUAACGUAGGGAAACUUACGCUAAUACCGCAUACGACCUACGGGUGAAAGCAGGGGAUCUUCGGACCUUGCGCGAUUGAAUGAGCCGAUGUCGGAUUAGCUAGUUGGCGGGGUAAAGGCCCACCAAGGCGACGAUCCGUAGCUGGUCUGAGAGGAUGAUAAGCCACUGUGGAGCUGAGACGGGGCCCAGUCCCCUACGGGAGGCAGGAGGGGGAAAUAUUGAAAAAGGGGCGAGAGUCUGCACAAAACAUCCCGGGGGGGUAAAGAAGGCCUGGGGGUGGAAAACCCUUUUUGUGGGAAAAAAAAAGCAGAGGGUAAAUACCCCGUUUUUCGGACGUAACCAAAAGAAUAAGCACCGGCUACUUGCUC